CCCACGUUCCAAAUUACGUCGCAAACGGUGACUCUGUGUGUGGGACCCACGCGAAUGCGCGCUGUUUCGGCAUUUCCUUCAACCUCACAACACGUUGCGCAGAACGACACCGUUUUGGCACGACGUAAUCCAUACCAUCAACCUACCUGAAUCGCUUCAGCGAAGGGUCUUUGAAGUUCGAAGGAAAUGAACGUAAAGCGCAUCGGAUCAAUGUCGUUUCGAGACUAUUUCCGAGGACACAGAUCUCUUGAAACUGUUCAAUUUCUUCAGGUUCUGAAUCAACUUGAUAGAUUGAGCACGGUAAUUUUAGCGGCUGCUACGAGUUUGAAGCGUCUACCUUUUGUAUCUUUCGACCGAUCAGACUUCUAGUGAUUCCAAUCCAUCAUAUCUGUCUGAUAACUUCUUCCUGUAGCAAUGGCGAGGUAGUCGAUCGAUUACUAAUUUGCUCUCUUGCUUUAUCAUGAAUGUUGGAUCAAACUAUUCAGGUAAUGCUUUUCUGUGAGAAUUCUUAGGCGCUUAUGGAGCAAACGAAAUUUGAUCAGUACAUCGAAAUUAGGGAUGUUGUCGUUGUGGUGUGGGAGGAUUCAUUGCUUUAUGCAUGAGUAGGACCGAUUUUUGUGUUUCAAUGGCCAUAGUUUUCUUACAUUAUCAUGUUAUUUCAUAAAUAGGAUGAAACGAUUAGAAAAGUAUAUACCGUUAGAAGUAUUUACAUCUUGUUGUAUAAAUUGAAGGAUCUUAAUUGCAGUAUUAACAAUGGUAUGGGGGUUAGUUUUUUAUUUUAUGACAACAUCGUUCUGGAAAUUGAUGGAAUCUAAUGAUUCCUGGUGGAUUACAAGGUCUUCCUCAGGUUAGUAGAAUUGCUAAUUUGAAGUCAUAGUGUCCAUGUUACUGUAAAUUGAUAUAUAUUUGAAUUGUUAUUAUGUAAAUUUUCAUUCCCAUGUCAUGUUUCUUUUAAUUUGCAUCUGAUGGGUUGAGCCGCAUAAACUUUGACCACAGGCCGUAGCUGAUCAGGUCCUGAAUUAUUAGAUGCGUUUAGGAUUACCCUUCCACCUUUGAUGUUUUUUGCUGCAAAAAGGCAAUUUGUCUACUAUUUAUUUUCUUUAUGGUUUCAUUGUUACGUUACAGGAACUGCAUUGAAGACAUUGAUAUUAUCUGUUAAAGAGAAAGCAUAAAGAAAUUCAUGACAGAUUAAUUUAUAAUAUUUUACUUAUAGUAUUUUACAGUUGCAUGCAGACUGAAGAAUUGAUAAAAUGAGGGGCUCCCUGUAUUCAAAAUCGUCAUUGAGUACAAAACUCGUACAUGUGGCAACAGUCAGGAAGAGUAAUAAAUGAAAGACAGAAAAUGCAUCAGUAAGAAGAAAAUCGUAUUGGCCAUUUGCUGCUGCUGGAUCCUACAAGUGCAUGCAUAAGCUGUCCACCCAUUCAUCUCUCCAAUAUUACAGUUCACGAGAUCAUCAGAGCUUAAAGAUAUAACGUUUUCUGUGCAACAGAUUACCUCCAACAUGCAGUAUUUCCUGUGCUCUUAUCCCCUUUCUAUUAAUUGUCCAUGCUGCAAAAACGGCUGUUCUUCAUCUGUAAGCAAGGCACAGCGAAAAGUUACACAAUAAUUUGUGAUUGUGAUAUACAUUUCUGCUUAAUCCUUAAAACAUUAUGGUGACCGUGAUCACCAAUUGUGCAAACAAUCCUCAUUGAAAGACAAUGUUAAAACAAAUUUAUUAAAUAAGCACACAGAACUUGUCUUGUUUGCCUUUUUUUUUCAAAGGUCCUCUUAACGAGCACAAAAAAAAAGGCAAUUUUCUCAAUAUGCGUAAACCAAACAUUAGCUAUAAAAUAAGAGGACCC
rnacentral:sRNA from 1 species